UACGAAGGGGGCUAGCGUUGCUCGGAAUCACUGGGCGUAAAGGGUGCGUAGGCGGGUCUUUAAGUCCGGGGUGAAAUCCUGGAGCUCAACUCCAGAACUGCCUUUGAUACUGAAGAUCUUGAGUUCGGGAGAGGUGAGUGGAACUGCGAGUGUAGAGGUGAAAUUCGUAGAUAUUCGCAAGAACACCAGUGGCGAAGGCGGCUCACUGGCCCGAUACUGACGCUGAGGCACGAAAGCGUGGGGAGCAAACGGG
rnacentral:rRNA from 1 species